CCUGCCCAGUGACACAGUUUCAACGGCCAUGGUAUCCUGACCGUGCGAAGGUAGCAUAAUCACUUGUCUCUUAAAUAGGGACUGGAAUGAAUGGCUAAACGAGGCCCUACCUGUCUCUCACAAAUAAUCAGUGAAAUUGGUAUUCUCGUGCAAAAGCGAGAAUAAUAAUAUAAGACGAGAAGACCCUGUGGAACUUAAAGUUAUAGCCAGUCAAGCACACAACAUUAAUCACCCUAAACCCCCUUAAACCUGGCUAAAACUUUAGGUUGGGGAGACCUUGGAGUAAAACAAAACCUCCAAAAAGAACCUAGUUCUUACUUAGAUCAACAACUCAAAGUGCUAACAGCAAAACGAUCCAAUUAUUGAUCAACGGAACAAGCUACCCCAGGGAUAACAGCGCAAUCUCAUUCUAGAGUCCCUAUCGACAAUGAGGUUUACGACCUCGAUGUUGGAUCAGGACAUCCUAAUGGUGCAGCAGCUAUUAAGGGUUCGUUUGUUCAACGAUUAAUAGUCCUACGUGAUCAGAGUUC
rnacentral:rRNA from 1 species